GGGGCCGAUCCGGAUUCGACGUGGGUCGCGAAACAGUGCAGGGCAUGCCGAGCACCAGUUCGCUCGUAAAUCCACUGGAAAACCAUAAACGCCAACGACGCGUUCUUUGCCCCUCAACUCGCGAAAGCGGCUUAAGUAGGGCUCGCUGCACUGAUUUGUCUUUGGGUCAGGCGGAGGGAGGCAACUUCCUAGAAGGCAACUUCGAACCGCAGCAGCGUCAUUUACAAAGAAUCGGUAUGUACUGGGGUCACACGGUGCAUGCUUAAACUACGUGAAUCGCCUCGGUCCGGCCUGUCGGCUGGCUAAGUCCGAGGUUAAAACCAAAUAGGCCGACUACGCAUGUAGAACUGCCUGCAGAGGGCUUGCGGACGGGGGUUCAAUUCCCCCCGGCUCCACCA
rnacentral:tmRNA from 2 species